rnacentral:rRNA from 1 species
ACGGGAGGCAGCAGUGAGGAAUAUUGGUCAAUGGACGAGAGUCUGAACCAGCCAAGUAGCGUGAAGGAUGACUGCCCUAUGGGUUGUAAACUUCUUUUAUACGGGAAUAAAGUGAGGCACGUGUGCCUUUUUGUAUGUACCGUAUGAAUAAGGAUCGGCUAACUCCGUGCCAGCAGCCGCGGUAAUACGGAGGAUCCGAGCGUUAUCCGGAUUUAUUGGGUUUAAAGGGAGCGUAGGCGGACGCUUAAGUCAGUUGUGAAAGUUUGCGGCUCAACCGUAAAAUUGCAGUUGAUACUGGGUGUCUUGAGUACAGUAGAGGCAGGCGGAAUUCGUGGUGUAGCGGUGAAAUGCUUAGAUAUCACGAAGAACUCCGAUUGCGAAGGCAGCUUGCUGGACUGUAACUGACGCUGAUGCUCGAAAGUGUGGGUAUCAAACAGGAUUAGAUACCCUGGUAGUCCACACAGUAAACGAUGAAUACUCGCUGUUUGCGAAUACAGUAAGCGGCC